CCCUUAGAUGUUCUGGGCCGCACGCGCGCUACACUGACGAAUGCAACGAGCUUAUAACCUUGGCCGAAAGGUCUGGGUAAUCUCCAAAUUUCGUCGUGAUGGGGAUAGAUUAUUGCAAUUAUUAAUCUUCAACGAGGAAUGCCUAGUAAGCGCAAGUCAUCAGCUUGCGUUGAUUACGUCCCUGCCCUUUGUACACACCGCCCGUCGCUCCUACCGAUUGAAUGGUCCGGUGAAGCGCUCGGACCGCGGCCUCUUGACGGUUUUCCGUCGAUUGGCUGUAGGAAGUUCGUUAAACCUUAUCAUUUAGAGGAAGGAGAAGUCGUAACA
rnacentral:rRNA from 1 species